rnacentral:rRNA from 1 species
AGUGAACGCUGGCGGUAGGCCUAACACAUGCAAGUCGAACGGCAGCACAGAGGAGCUUGCUCCUUGGGUGGCGAGUGGCGGACGGGUGAGGAAUACAUCGGAAUCUACUCUGUCGUGGGGGAUAACGUAGGGAAACUUACGCUAAUACCGCAUACGACCUACGGGUGAAAGCAGGGGAUCUUCGGACCUUGCGCGAUUGAAUGAGCCGAUGUCGGAUUAGCUAGUUGGCGGGGUAAAGGCCCACCAAGGCGACGAUCCGUAGCUAGUCUGAGAGGAUGAUCAGCCACACUGGAACUGAGACACGGUCCAGACUCCUACGGGAGGCAGCAGUGGGGAAUAUUGGACAAUGGGCGCAAGCCUGAUCCAGCCAUACCGCGUGGGUGGAGAAGGCCUUCGGGUUGUAAAGCCCUUUUGUUGGGAAAGAAAUCCAUCUGGUUAAUACCCGGGUGGGAUGACGGUACCCAAAGAAUAAGCACCGGCUAACUUCGUGCCAGCCGCCGCAGUAA